rnacentral:misc_RNA from 1 species
UACGGAGGGUGCAAGCGUUGUUCGGAAUCACUGGGCUUAAAGCGCGUGUAGGCGGAGUGUCAGGUGCCGUGUGAAAGCCCCGGACUCAACCCGGGAAUUGCGCGGCAAACCGAUGCUCUUGAGGCAAGCAGAGGUGACUGGAACGACCGGUGGAGCGGUGAAAUGCGUAGAUAUCGGUUGGAACGCCGGAGGCGAAAGCGGGUCACUGGGCUUGUCCUGACGCUGAGACGCGAAAGCGUGGGGAGCAAACAGG